UCAUGGUAGUCCUCAGCUUCAUCUCCAACCUUUGCUUCCCCUGUUUUCCCUGCUGCUCCGCUUCGAUUGCGUGUGCCUGGGUGUACCAGCUGUCAGGGAAACUGGGCGUGCGGGCAGCAACAGACAGCUCCAACAGAGGACAACCUGGCUGAUAAGAUCAAGACUUUGGGUGGCAGGCGUGGAACUUCACCAGAUGUUGAUUGAAGGCGGGUACUGAUGAAUUUCAGAGGAGGCGUGAGGCAGACAGGAGUGAGAACAAAGGAAAACAGGGCUGUGGUGAAGGAUGGAAGUGACACACAUUCACCAAGGAGCACCGCCAAAAGCAGGUCAUCUGAGAACUGACCGUGAAAGGGGGUACAUUGACUGAUCAAUACCCAACUUCAGCCAUUUAACCAAAAACUUCAGCUCUUUCAGUUGUGACGGUCGGCAGGAAGCCAUAUCAAAGUAGGCUGCUUAAAUGACUUGCCGACUGUUG